CUUCGAUGAAAUAACUUAAGAUCAUGUUUCAUACUUACAUGCUUUGGUGAAGUAACUUAACAUCAUGUUUCAUUCAUACUUACAUGCUUCGAUGAGACACCUUAAGAUCAUGUAGUGAGAAAUUUCAGUUCUGCGAAGUACCUGGAUCACCACUAGUUAGUGGGUUACCUUUGUUACAUUACGGCUUAGACAUUCUGUGCUGGGAUGUAGAGUUCCUAUGUUGAAGACCAGCUUAGAUAUCCCGCAGCACCGCUUAGAAAAUUAUGCGGCGCAGCUUUAGUAACUCUCUUGCUUUCAUUCCUGCGCAGCUUAAUAAUUUUACUUCAUCUUGUUAUUCCACUAAUUCCUCCUUUUCCUUUGCUGUUGUAUCUUUCUUCGCAUGAUCCUCGCAUUCAUCAACGAACAAUCACAAUUAGUUUUCAACUUCAUAACAUAUUUUCAUAUGAAUAAGAAAUAAAUUUUAAAUCAUCAUUCGUUUGGUCCUGUCCAGAUUUAAGAGUUGAAUUCCACCACAACAAGAUAUCAGCAAUAACAACAAUUACAUUUCAUUUACCCCAACCAUGAUCCAUUUUCACAAGAAAAUGCGCUGCAAAUUCAAUUGAAUCCCAAGUUAAAAAUUCACGAUUUCAUCAACUUACUAAGUACCCAAAUAAGGUAAGAGAUAGUGGCACAAUCCCAAAUUCAGAUAUUGAAAUUCAAAUGGCAUAUUCAAUGAAUAAUAUCAAUAUAUUUGAACGAAAAAAUCAACCCCAAAAUCAAUAAAAAAUUAUUCAUCAUUAUGAUAGAUUGAUAGGGUGACUCUAAACGCGGCAAUUGGUUUAAUCCAUGCUGCCAUUUACUCAAGGCAGCUGCGCUGCCCUUCGGUGUAUCUUCCAACCUGCGCUGCUCGAAACCCCGACCCUUACCCAAAUUGAAGGCUGAGUGGUUUAUGCAUGUAAUAGCGCACAUACUCAUGAGUGUUAAAGAAGACAGCAUUUCCAAUAGAUUCCCUGGAAAACGUUGCGCUCCCUCCACGAAAAAUGCCCUGCGCAGCCCUGAAUUUGUAAAGAAAAGUAGAGCAAAGUCAGUCUAAAAAACGAGACAUGGAUAACCCCAAAAUCAGCAGAUGCAAUCCCCAAUUAAAGCAAAAUUAAUCCUGAAAUAUCAGGAUUUUUGAAACGGCAGAGCUGGAAUCCCGCUGUGUUGAGAGAACCCUGUGCGGGGCUGAAAUCCCCUAGCGUCAAAAAAAGUCCUGCGCAGGCCCGUUCACCCAAAGCAGCUACGUUGCCCUUCGGAUCCAAAAAUU
rnacentral:lncRNA from 1 species